rnacentral:rRNA from 1 species
AUGCUCGACGAGUUCAAAGCUAAUAGUGAACCAGCCUCCAGAAAGCUGGACUGUUUUGCUAUUGCACCCAAGAUUGCCAUGGCUUAUAAGAUGAAGAAAAUGAGAGGCCAGCUGAGGAAGAUCAAAGAGGAUCACGAGAGUUUCAAAUUCACACAUGACAACUCCGGCCUAAUUGAUGUGCACCAACUUCCCGAUCCACGGGAAACAACAUCAAAUGUGAUUGAAUCACUCAUCAUAGGAAGAGACAAAGACAGGAUGAAUGUCCUUUCUUUGUUAUCCACAAGCAAUAACAACAAAGAACAUAUAACCGUUCUUCCUAUCUGUGGGCUUGGAGGCAUAGGAAAAUCAACUUUGGCACAACUGGUUUUCAAUGAUACUCAAUUCAAAGAUUAUAAUCAUCGGGUUUGGGUUUAUGUAUCCCAGGUGUUUGAUUUGAAAAAAAUAGGGAACUCCAUAAUUUCUCAAGUACUCGGGAAAGGAAGCCAAAAUCUAGAUACAAGGGAGUUGAUAGACCAACGCCUUAAAGAUCUACUUCAAGAUAAGAAGACUUUAAUUGUUUUAGAUGACAUAUGGGAGACAGAUAACUUCCAACUGGAUCAACUCAAGCUUAUGUUGAAUGUAGGCUCCAAGUUGAAAGUCUUGGUCACAACACGCAGCAAAGACAUUGCAAGAAAAAUGUGUACUGUUGGUGUUCAACCAUACUUGCUAGAUCCCUUGGACAACGACAUGUGCUGGAGAAUAAUCAAGCAAAAUAGUGGUUUUGAAUCUAGGGUUGAUAAAGGCCAAGCUGAACCAGUUGGACAGAUAAUUGCAAGGAAAUGUGGAGGUUUGCCAUUAGCAGCUCAAGCACUUGGAUUCUUGCUAUCUGGAAUGGAUCUUAGUGACUGGAAAGCUAUGUGCAAUAAUGAUAUUUGGGAUGAACCAUUUUCUGAUAGUACAGUGUUACCAUCCUUGAAGUUAACUUACAAUACUUUGACACCAUAUUUGAGGUUAUGCUUUGCCUAUUGUGGCAUCUUUCCUAAAGGUCACAAUAUAAAUAAAGAUGAUCUUAUCCAUCAAUGGAUUGCCCUUGGUUUCAUCGAGCCAUCUAAUAACUUUUCGGCCAUACAACUUGCCGAGAAGUAUAUUAGGCAAUUCAUGGGGAUGUCUUUCCUUCAGCAUUCAAAACUGCGCACAGAAUUGCCUAAGAUAAUUCCAAAAACAAUCUUCACCAUGCAUGAUCUGGUGCAUGAUCUCGCAAGAUCAAUCAUUACUGAAGAGUUGGUUGUCUUUGAUGCUAAAAGAGCGAGCAGUACUAGAAGAAAAGAAUAUUGUUGUUAUGCGUCUCUUACAAAUUACAAUACUACAGAUUACAACAAGGCAAGGAAGAUGUCAACUAUUUUUCCCUCCAAGUUAAGGGCGAUGCAUUUUUUCAAUUCUGAAAUCCAUGGUGGUGUAUUUUCAUUUCCAAAGUGCUUGCGUGUCUUGGAUCUAUCUGGAUGCUCCAUCACAGAGUUUCCAAGUGCUCUAGGACAAGUGAAGCAAUUGGAGGUUCUUAUUGCUCCAAAUCUCGAAGAUCGGCAAUUUCCCGAGAGUAUCACUCAGUUCUCAAAAUUACAUUACCUGAACCUCAGUGGAUCAGAUAAAAUUUCUGCAAUACCAAGCUCGAUUGGCAAACUUGAGAGUCUAGCGUAUCUUGACUUAUCUUAUUGUACCAGUGUCGAAGUCAUACCAGAGGCUUUUGGAAGCCUAAAAAACCUUCAAACAAUAGACCUCACAUGGUGUGAGAAACUAGAGUCCCUUCCAGAGAGCCUUGGAAGCCUCAAAAACCUUCAAACACUCGACCUCGCACGGUGCAAGAAACUAGAGUCCCUUCCAGAGAGCCUUGGAAGCCUCAAAAACCUUCGAACACUGAACCUCUUAUACUGCUGGCAAUUGAAGUCCCUUCCAGAGAGCCUUGGAAGGCUUGAAAACCUUCAAACACUAGACCUCUCAGAAUGUAUGAAACUAGUGUGCCUUCCAGAGAGCUUUGGAAGCCUCAAAAACCUUCAAACACUAGAUCUCACAUGGUGCUGGAAACUAAAGCCCCUUCCGAAGAGCCUUGGAAGCCUCACAAACCUUCGUUCCCUCGACCUCACACACUGCUGGGUAAUAGAGUCCCUUCCAGAGACUCUUGGAAGCCUAAAAAACCUUCAAACACUGAACCUCAGAGGCUGUAACAAACUAGAGUACCUUCCGGAGAGCCUUGGAAGCCUCAAAAAUCUUCAAACACUCGACAUUGGAGGCUGUAGUAAACUAGAGUACCUUCCAGAGAGCCUUGAAAACCUGGUUGGAAACCUGAAAAUCAUUGGGAGCUGGAAACCUAAAAAUCAUUGGAAGAGGUUAAGGUUAUGGAUGCGAGAGCAUCAAGUCCUUGCCACAGUGUCUACAACAACUCACCAGUCCCCAGAUGGUACAUAA